GGACGUCUUCUCUUUCUUUUCCUGAUACCUUGAACUUGCUUGUGGCGCAGGCGCCGCAACAAUGGGUAGAUAGGUGGAUGUGUGUGUGGAUGAGAGAUGAAUACAUGGGUGAACAGGUAGAUUUGUGGAUGGAUGGAUAGAUGGGUGGAUGAGAGAUGAAUAAAUAGAUUGGUAAGUAUAUAGAUGAAUGGGUGGGUGAAUGGAUAAGAAGAUGGAUGAUAUGUAUGUGUGUGUGUGGGUUAAGGAUAGACGAUUGGAUAGAUGGAUGAAUGGGUGGGUAAGUAGACAGAUGAGAGGGUAAAUAUGAGGAUCAGUGGGGGUAUUGUUGAAUGGAUGAAAUCUACCCUUCUUUGGCUGUAAAUCAAGGAUAGCCCAUCUUCUCAAGGCUAAUGAUAAAGUUUGCUUCUCUAGAGAGAGAUAAAGUCAUAACCUGAGGUUCAUGUAGUAUGACAACGUGGUGUCACAAAAACCAGGAGCAAGGAUCAGAGGUAGGGUCCUGGCCAAGCUUUUUGUGAACUUGGUAAGUCUGUAGCAUGCCACCAUCGUGGGUGAUGGCCCAUCUUCUAGGGCCCCUUGUCAUUACUGCUGGGAACUGAAUUUUGUCCCCAAAUGCACAUGCUUAAGCCUAAAGCCCCCUGGGAUAUUUUUGAAGCUGAGCAUGGGAGGGCCUGGGCUUUUAUGUAGUCCUGAGCUGAGCUCCCCUGGUGGGACUUCUCCUUGUGAGGAGGGGCUCAGGCGGGUCACGAUGAGAAGGCAGUUUCCGCAAGCCCCCGUGCUUCUGUCGUCAACAGUAGGAUGGAUGAUGAUGAUUUCUUGCCUGUGGUGUGUUUUAUGUUGGCCUCAGCUCAAGUGUUCCACACACAAAGCAGAAAGCACUGGGACAAAGCUUCAGAUGCCCUUCUCCUAGAAGGCUGCCAAGCGCUUGAUGCACCAAGGACAGGCCCUUGUGGCAGCCGCAUGGUCCCCAAGGACACUGAGUGAUGUGCUGUCAAAACUCCCACCUCAUGAUGGCAGUGUCCACAAGCAAAGCCUUCUUACUUCACAGGACUCCAGCUUGGCCAGACUAUGGGCAACAGUAUUAAGUGAAAUGCAGAAAGUGAGACCCCCAGAUGAGGCAGGACAGCUGGACAAACCUUGGUUUGUAUGUGGGAAUCUGCCUAAGAGACGUGAAGAACAGACCAAGACCUGGGGUCACUCGUCAUGCCUCAUACAUCCUGCUGGGAUUAAAGCACAGGGAACACUUGCUAAUGACAGAGGGUCCUGCCCUUCUAUCAGGGAGAUCCAUAGGCCCCAGAGGAACCCAGAGGCGCAUGCACACUGGGCAAGCACUCUGCUGCGGAGUCCACCCCACACCGUUCGAAGAUUCCGAAGCUUCAGUGAUUCCCUUUGACGGCUUGGGAAGCAGAGGCACAUAGCUACGGAGGGUCUGAGAGUCCACACUCCCACAACUGCAGGUUGCAGUUUGUGGCCACUGUGAGCAUCCUGCACUCCCUGGGUCAACCCUCCCAACCGCAUCCUAAGGAGCCACACCUGCUGCACCUGCCCCUCGAGGAAGGCUCACAGGUGGAGACGUGCCCCAUCUUACUGAGGCAAAAGCCUGGACUCGGGGAUCCAAUGUCACUCUCUUCCCACUGUGCCAUCUUCCGAGGACACUGGGAACCAAACGAACGGCUCUCCAGGCUGGGAAGGAGGAAAGACACCCAGUCUGCUUCACCCCUACCUCACCCCCUGCCCCUACUCUGCCCGGCUCAUAGACAGCUAACAUGUGUUUCUAUGACAUAUGGAAACACAGGGGAACCCAGUGAGGGAGAAUGGAGGAGCGAAUGGAAAUUGGAGACAAUUGCUGUAUGCAUAUCUGAAUUUCCAUGGCCAUCUCAGACUGUACACAUGACUUCAGAGUGGUUGUUAAUCCCCCGGCCUCCAGGGUCUGACCACUCUUCUGGGUUGCACUUCUCUUCUUGGCCACCAUGGGGCACACUUCCCCCCAGUGAGCAGGAGCCAAGACUGAAAACCCAAGCUGGUCUUUCCUUUCCUGAAUGAACUCUCCAGGCCUCAUUCCUAGAACAGUCCAUAAUUUUUCUAAUAAAACAUCAUUAACUAUGGAAAGUCACCCACCAUA